rnacentral:rRNA from 1 species
CCCCAGGUCAGACGAGACUACCCGCUGAGUUUAAGCAUAUCAAUAA